AUUGAACGCUGGCGGCAGGCCUAACACAUGCAAGUCGAGCGGACGAAGGGAGCUUGCUCCUGGAUUCAGCGGCGGACGGGUGAGUAAUGCCUAGGAAUCUGCCUGGUCGUGGGGGCUAACGUCCGGUCACGGGCGCUAAUAUCGCAUACGUCCUGAGGGUGAAAGUGGGGGAUCUUCGGACAUCACGCUAUCAGAUGAGCCUAGGUCGGAUUAGCUAGUUGGUGGGGUAAAGGCCUACCAAGGCGACGAUCCGUAACUGGUCUGAGAGGGUGAUCAGUCACACUGGAACUGAGACACGGUCCAGACUCCUACGGGAGGCAGCAGUAGGGAAUAUUGGACAAUGGGCGAAAGCCUGAUCCAGCCAUGCCGCGUGUGUGAAGAAGGUCUUCGGAUUGUAAAGCACUUUAAGUUGGGAGGAAGGGCAGUAAGUUAAAACCUUGCUGUUUUGACGUUACCAACAGAAUAAGCAACGGCUAACUUCGUG
rnacentral:rRNA from 1 species